AGUUGCUUUAUGACGCCGGGCGCGUGCGCAUUUAAAACAAUUCUCGAAAGAAAUGUUCACAAAUUAGUUUAAAUUCGAAAACGUUUCGGUAUGGACGCAAGAAAAAGGAAUUCUAAGAAAUAGAAAUUCUAAGCGAAACAACAACGAAAAAGGAAAAUAAUUUAAAUAGGGAUAAUAAUAUACAAAAACAUAACAACAAAAACACAACGGUAUUAAGGAAUCUGUUUCAGAAUUUCAGUGAGUUAAAUCUGUUAAAAAGUUCUGCGGUUAAUUUGUUUGUUUCUUUAACAAAAAACGUAAUCUAAUAUUUUAAUUAUUAUCAUCAGCUCAGCAGCAGUGUAGAAUAUAUUGGCCUAAAAUACUAGAUAUUUUAUGUUAAUAUAUUAAAUUCGAGUGACUUACGUCACCCAAGAUUUUGUACAUUUUCAAGCGAGCAUUGGACUGGGUGUUAAUUAUUUCUAUGCCGGUUUGCUGCAAGUAUUUGUUGUCAUUGAUCAAUUAGCUUCCUAGCUUUCAAGCGAACGGUCGUGUUUUUUUUUUGCGCUCCGAUUCCUAUUUUGUGUUUGUCAAACCAGCCAAGUCGGGGAACUCGACUAUCGCAUUCUCUCUUGUUUUCCAUAGAUGUCCCUAUCUGCAAUUGGAUUCUCCUUUCUCAGGAUGCACUUAAGUUUUUUUUGUUCCAUUUUAAAAAAGGAUAGGUCUGCAGUUAACGACUGAGGAUUUCCUAGCCAUUUGAUGAAAUUAAUGUUCCUUUUUAAAAUAUCUGAAUUUAUUUUUAUUAAAUUGCAUUCCUUUGAGCAAUUACUCUAUAUUUGUGUACAUGAUAUAUAUAUAUAUCCUUUUCCCAUUUAAUUUUACCUACCUUUUAAUAAAUACUUUAAUAAGUCAUAAUAUGUGCGUAAGCAUACUAACCAGAU
rnacentral:lncRNA from 1 species